UACGUAGGGCUCGAGCGUUGUCCGGAUUUAUUGGGCGUAAAGAGCAUGUAGGUGGUUACCUAAGUCGGUUUUCAAAGUCCGGGGCUUAACUCCGGUUCUGGAAUCGAUACUGGGUAACUCUGAGUAUAGUAGGGGCAAGCGGAACUCCCGGUGUAGCAGUGAAAUGCGUUGAUAUCGGGAAGAACACCAAUGGCGAAGGCAGCUUGCUAGGCUAUUUCUGACACUGAGAUGCGAAAGCGUGGGGAGCGAA
rnacentral:rRNA from 1 species